rnacentral:rRNA from 1 species
UCGAUUAGUUUGAUCAUGGCUCAGGACGAACGCUGGCGGCGCGCUUAAUACAUGCAAGUCGAGCGAGAACCAGCCCUUCGGGGCUGGGGAAAGCGGCGAACGGGUGAGUAACACGUGGGUAAUCUGCCCUCGGCACCGGGAUAGCCCGGGGAAACCCGGAUUAAUACCGGAUAGCCUCUCGAGCUCUCGAGCUCGCGAGAAAAGGUAGCUUUGGCCUCUGGCCGAGGAGGAGCCCGCGGCGGAUUAGCUUGUUGGUGAGGUAACGGCCCACCAAGGCGACGAUCCGUAGCUGGUCUGAGAGGACGAUCAGCCACACUGGGACUGAGACACGGCCCAGACUCCUACGGGAGGCAGCAGUAGGGAAUCUUGCGCAAUGGGCGGAAGCCUGACGCAGCGACGCCGCGUGCGGGAAGAAGGCCUUCGGGUUGUAAACCGCUUUCAGGAGGGACGAAGCCACUCGGGUUAAUAGCCCAGAGGGUGACGGUACCUCCAGAAGAAGCCCCGGCUAACUACGUGCCAGCAGCCGCGGUAAUACGUAGGGGGCAAGCGUUGUCCGGAUUUAUUGGGCGUAAAGCGCGUGUAGGCGGCCAGGUAGGUCCGUUGUGAAAACUCGAGGCUCAACCUCGAGACGUCGACGGAAACCAUCUGGCUAGAGUCCGGAAGAGGAGAGUGGAAUUCCUGGUGUAGCGGUGAAAUGCGCAGAUAUCAGGAAGAAUAUCCGUGGCGAAGGCGGCUCUCUGGG